AACCAGGAGGAGGAUCAUCGAUCCUACCGCUAGGUCUCAGAAGCUCCAACUCGUAUGAAGAAGGAAUUUCGUAUUGUAUUCAAAUUAGACUCAGAUCUCCUGAGUCCAACAUGGAUCCGAUGGUGCCAGAUACAAAGGAUGGCCUGACCACAUGCCCGACACCCAGACCUACAGGGUCUCCUCCUGAAGAAGGAGGUGAUCCAGAAGAUCAGUUCUCACUAAAACUCCUGGAACCAACCAUUGGAGGAUGAAGAAAAUG
rnacentral:lncRNA from 1 species